rnacentral:rRNA from 1 species
GACGAACGCUGGCGGCGUGCUUAACACAUGCAAGUCGAGCGAGGCCCCUCCUUCGGGAGGGUGUCCUAGCGGCGAACGGGUGAGUAACACGUGGGCAACCUGCCCUCAGCUCUGGGAUAACUCCGGGAAACCGGGGCUAAUACCGGAUACGACCUCCACGGGCAUCUGCGGAGGUGGAAAGUUUUUCGGCUGAGGAUGGGCCCGCGGCCUAUCAGCUAGUUGGUGGGGUAGUGGCCCACCAAGGCGACGACGGGUAGCCGGCCUGAGAGGGCGACCGGCCACACUGGGACUGAGACACGGCCCAGACUCCUACGGGAGGCAGCAGUGGGGAAUAUUGCGCAAUGGGCGAAAGCCUGACGCAGCGACGCCGCGUGAGGGACGAAGGCCUUCGGGUUGUAAACCUCUUUCAGCAGGGACGAAGCGAAAGUGACGGUACCUGCAGAAGAAGCACCGGCCAACUACAUG